AAUAAGCUAAGGCUUGCCUUGAAAGCUAGUUACCAUAAAGAUAAUCAUAUGCCAUAGCAACGAUUUCGUUUAAUUUUUUUGGAGCAAAUAUUUUUUGUGAGGCUAUGACUGUGCUGGGCAAGAAACAUGUGGAGUUGUGGCCGAAACAGAGGCCAAGAAAAGUCAACAAAAAAAACAAAAACAGAAACAAAGCAAACUGGCACGUGUUUGUCGUAGAGGCAUAAGGAUUUCGGUUUCAUGAGUAGGAUGAAACAAAGGAACAAGGAGCCAUACAUCAAGGCGGAAUGCAUUUCCAAUGGUUGCACCAAAUUUUUUGCCUUAAAUUCUGCCCCAUUCUGCUGCAUUCUGUCAUGCAUGCGUUCUUGCUGCCGUUAUAUGUUGGAGUUGGAUGUACAAUUGUUCGAUAAAAGCCAAGUUUGUGAUAUUCUGAAAAGAUGAGAGAUGAAAGUUGUAUAUUUUGACAUCUUUGGA